GACGAAGGGGGCUAGCGUUGCUCGGAAUCACUGGGCGUAAAGGGUGCGUAGGCGGGUCUUUAAGUCAGGGGUGAAAUCCUGGAGCUCAACUCCAGAACUGCCUUUGAUACUGGCGAUCUUGAGUCCGGGAGAGGUGAGUGGAACUCCGAGUGUAGAGGUGAAAUUCGUAGAUAUUCGGAAGAACACCAGUGGCGAAGGCGGCCCACUGGCCCGGUACUGACGCUGAUGUGCGAAAGCGUGGGGAGCAAACAGG
rnacentral:rRNA from 1 species